rnacentral:miRNA from 1 species
AUAUAUAUGUAUAUAUAUGUGUGUGUGUGUGUGUGUGUGUGUAUAUAUAUAUAUACAUAUAUAUAUAUAUAUAUAGCAUAAUAU